rnacentral:rRNA from 1 species
UGUAAAUAGCUUGUUUAAAGUUUGGGGAAUAUAGAAGGGAGUUAAGAAAAAUAAUUUUUAUAAUUUUAGUAAUUUUUAAUGAAAAUUAAGUAAAGACUAAAGAGAAAAGUACUGUGAAGGAAAGUUGUUGAGAUUUUAUAUAGAAAAAGUAAAAUUUUGUGCCUCGUGUAUCAGAAAAAAUUUAUAUAAUUUAGUUAAUGGUAAGUAUCUCGAAAUAAAAUAUAGUAAUUUUUAUAAAAUUUUCUUUUUAGAAAAAAAGAAUUUAAUAUAAAAUUUAAAGUGAAAUGCUAGCUGAGUUUUAUGAUAUCUAGUUUUUUAAAAAAUAAAUUUAAUUUAAUUUUUACGAAGAAAGAAUUGUAAAAUUAAAUGGUAGGGGGGAUUAGCUCUUUACGGAAAAGUCAAUGAAAUAGGUAGAUAUAAAGAAAUUAUAUAAAUUAGGCUUAGAAGUAGCUAUAUUGAAAAAGUGUUUUAACUAAAUUAUAAUUACUUGAAUAUUUAAGAUAACUUUUGUUAGGUAUUAAAAAAACGGUUUAAACAAAAUAAAACGAAAUAUAAUGAUUUUAUUAGUAAAAUUUAUUAAGUAAAUAAAAA